rnacentral:rRNA from 1 species
UACAGAGGGUGCAAGCGUUAAUCGGAGUUACUGGGCGUAAAGGGCGCGUAGGCGGUUGUUUAAGUGAGAUGUGAAAUCCCUGGGCUUAACCUAGGAACCGCAUUUUAGACUAGAUGACUGGAGUACAGUAGAGGGUAGCGGAAUUUCCGGUGUAGCGGUGAAAUGCGUAGAGAUCGGAAGGAACAUCGGUGGCGAAGGCGGCUACCUGGACUGAAACUGACGCUGAGGCGCGAGAGCGUGGGGAGCAAACAGG